AACGAACGCUGGCGGCAGGCUUAACACAUGCAAGUCGAGCGCCCCGCAAGGGGAGCGGCAGACGGGUGAGUAACGCGUGGGAACGUACCUUUUGGUUCGGAACAACUCCGGGAAACUGGAGCUAAUACCGGAUAAGCCCUAACGGGGAAAGAUUUAUCGCCGAAAGAUCGGCCCGCGUCUGAUUAGCUAGUUGGUGAGGUAACGGCUCACCAAGGCGACGAUCAGUAGCUGGUCUGAGAGGAUGAUCAGCCACACUGGGACUGAGACACGGCCCAGACUCCUACGGGAAGCAGCAGUGGGGAAUAUUGGACAAUGGGCGCGAGCCUGAUCCAGCCAUGCCGCGUGAGUGAUGAAGGCCUUAGGGUUGUAAAGCUCUUUUGUCCGGGAAGAUAAUGACUGUACCGGAAGAAUAAGCCCCGGCUAACUUCGUG
rnacentral:rRNA from 1 species